GCGCGGUUCCGAGCGGUCGCUCCCUCGCGAGGUGCCGCGGGUCAGCGGCUGACGCCAGCCACCUUCCUGACCCGUCUUGAAACACGGACCAAGGAGUCUAACAUGUGCGCGAGCCGCGGGGCAGUACGAAACCCGUAAGGCGAAAUGAAGGUGAACGCCGGCGCGGUCCGGCGGAGGUUGGAUCCCGUCCCGUCGGGGCGGGCGCACUACCGGCCGAUCUUCUCCGCCCUGUCGGCGAGGUCGAGCGAGAGCGUGCAAGUCGGGACCCGAAAGAUGGUGAACUAUGCCUGAGGAGGUUGAAGCCAGAGGAAACUCUGGUGGAGGACCGUAGCGAUUCUGACGUGCAAAUCGAUCGUCAAAUUUGGGUAUAGGGGCGAAAGACUAAUCGAACCGUCUAGUAGCUGGUUCCCUUCGAAGUUUCCCUCAGGAUAGCUGGCGCUCUGUCGCAGUUUUAUCUGGUAAAGCGAAUGAUUAGAGGUCUUGGGGGCGAAACGCCCUCAACCUAUUCUCAAACUUUAAAUUGGUAAGAAGCCCGACUCGCUCGUUUGGAGCCGGGCAUGGAAUGCGAGUGCCAAGUGGGCCACUCUUGGUAAGCAGGACUGGCGAUGCGGGAUGAACCGAACGCCGGGUUAAGGCGCCCGACGCGACGCUCAUCAGAGCCCACAAAAGGUGUUGGUUGAUAUAGACAGCAGGACGGUGGCCAUGGAAGUCGGAAACCGC
rnacentral:ncRNA from 1 species